ACAUACCAUUUCCCCUUUCAUUCUUGUAAACCUUGUUCCUACAUUCAUCUUUUUCUCAACUUUAGUGACUUCUCCACUGACUUCUUUCCAGCUGCCUAAAAUUAAGUUUAGGUCUUCCAAGUCAUUUGAGCCUUCUGUGACAACUCAGCUACUGUGCCUUCUGACACCUCAUGUUGAUUUCUUGAGAAGGUUGACUGCACAGGGCACUCCUACUUCCUCAGUACUCACACUCUUCUAGAACUUGAGUUCAUGUUUCUGCGCCUGGAAAAAUCUGCAAAAACUGUCCUCCCUACAGUAACAGAAUAAAAACAAAGAGCCUUUGGUUACUGAUCCUAAGAAUCCAGAGAAAUACUCCCAAGUUUUGGUGGAUCCUAAAAAAUUAUAUGCUGUACUGCAGAAAGCAAAGGAGCAGACAUUUCAUAAAGAAGUCACCUUGUUAAGUGAACUUAUAGAUCUCUUGUUCAGUCCUCAGGAGUCAGCAGAAGCUUAUGGAUUGGGCCUGAAAAGGAAGGAAACAAAAAAGAAGAGCCUUGACAAAGUUAAAGUGUCAGCUUGUGAAGAAUAUAUCAAGCAUAUUUGCUCUGUAGAAGGCUGGAAAGAACUAAGCCCGAAGGAGUUCCAGAAAGUUUUCUUAGGAAGGAUAGAAAAUGCCCGGUGGAAUCUAAAAAGCAGCUUACAGAAAACCUCCUGAAGAUGUGUCCUUUCUUCCCACCAUUUUAAUCUGCAACACUUUUACCCAAAGGAAAGUUAGAUAAUUAAAUAAGGGAAAGUUCCAGGCUGUAAUUUCAUACUCUUCAAGUAAAAAAGACAAGUGCAUUCUCCUUCAAAUAUCCUAUGAACAAUCCACAAUGUAUAAGCAUAUCCCAAGUCAUAUCCUCCUGAGCCAACAACAUUUCCUUAUGACAUCAAUGAUAUAUGUCAACCAGACUUAAUGUGGUGUAACAUCCAAGAGGACUGGCCUUGGAAGUCAGGAAAACCUGAGUUCAAGUUCUCCCACUGAAACAUACUGGUUAUGUGACUGUGGGCAAGUCUCUUAACCUCUUAGGGACAAAGGUAACUUUCUAAGGUGUCCUUGGGGCUCUGUCCUGUUCCUUCUUCUCUUCUCUCUUUAUCCUAUGUCACUUGGUGAUCUCAUCAGCAACCAUGGAUUCAAUUAUCAUUUCUAUGCAGAUUAUUUUUAGAUUGAUUUAUCUAGUCCUAACUUCUCCCUUUGCCUCCCAUCUUGCAUCUUCAGCUGCCUAUUGGAUAUCUCAAAAUGGAUGCCACAUUAUAAACUCAAUAUAUCCAAAAUUAAACUCAUUUUCUCCUCCCAGUUUCCCUAUAACUGUCAAGGGCACUAUCAUCCUCACAGCCACCCUCACAACUCAGGUGUUACCUUCGACUCCUCAGAUCUUUCACAUUCCAUAUCUAAUCUGUUGCCAAGUUCUGUUGAUUCUACUGCCAAAAUUCUCUCAUAUAUACCCCACUCACUUCUGUGAUCACCCUGGAAUGGGCCUUCAUCACCUCACAUCUAGAUUAUUGCAGUAGUUUGCAGGUUGGUCUCCCUGCCUCAAGUAUAUCCUUGUUUCAGUGCAUUCUCCAUUUAGCUGUCAACGUAAUCUUCUUAAAGUGCUGGUCUGAACAUGUCACACACACCCCUAAUCAAUGAACUCCAAUGGCUUCCUAUCACUUCUAAUAUCAACUACGAAAUCCUCUGCUUGAGGUUGAAAGACCUCUUCCCACUCCGCCCUUUCCAAUUCUCUUUCACCUUAUACUCCACCAUGUGCUCAGUGAUCCAGUGACAAUGACUUUCCUGGAAAUGUCUUGAGCAAGAAACUCCAUCUCCAUCAAGGGAUAUUUUCACUGGCUGUCUGCCAUUCCUGGAAUUCCCUCCCUCCUUAUCUCAGUAUCCUGGUUUCCUUGGCUUCUUUCAAAUCCUAGAUAAGAUACCACCUUCUGCAAGAUAUCUUCCCUAAUCUUCCUACAUGCUAAUGUUUCCCCCAUACUGCUUAUCUCCAAUGUGUCCUGUAUAUAUCUUCUUUGUUUUCAUAUUGUCUUUCCAUUAGACCAUGAGCUCUUUGAGGGGUGGCACUAUUUUUUGUCUUGCUUUGCAACCUUAGUGUUUAGUACAAUCCUUGGGACAUAGUAGGUGCUUAAGAAAUGUUUACUGUUGAUUUGCUGUUGACCUACACUGAUAGAGGGAUAUUCCUCACUAGAGAUUUACUGGUAUAGAGAACAAAUGAAAAAAAAAAAGUACAGUAACACAGUAACUCCACAGUAACAA